rnacentral:rRNA from 1 species
CAUGCAAGUCGUACGGGAGCACCGGAGCUUGCUCCUGGUGGUGAGUGGCGGACGGGUGACGUAUACCUCGGUGCGCUCUCUUGUGUGGGGGGACACCGUGCGGAAAGUUACGGUUAUACCGCAUAUUCUGUGAGCAGGAAAGCAGGAGAUCGCAAGACCUCGCGCUCUUGGAGCGGCCGAUGUGGGAUUAGCUAGAUGGUGAGGUAAAAGCUGACCAAGGCGACGAUCCGAAGGAGGACUGAGAGGAUGAUCUGCCACACUGGGACUGAGACUCCGCCCAGACUCCUACGGGAGGCAGUGUGGCGAUUUUUGGACAACGGGCGCAACCCUGAUCCAGGCAUGCCGCGUGAGUGAAGAAGGCCAUCGGCUUGUAUAGCUCUUUCGGCGGGGAAGAAUUGGCAACGGCUAAUAUCCCUUGUUCUGGACCGUACCCGCAUAAGAAGCACCGGCUAACUACGUGCCACCAGCCGCGGUAAUACGUAGGGUGCGAGCGUUAAUCGGAAUUACUGGGGGUAAAGCGUGCGCAGGCGUUUUCG